CGCCGCCGUGCGGGAGAGUUCCGGGUAAGUCCCGGGCGCCGAAGGAGCAGCACCUCCCCGUCAAUCUCUCAGGCAUCAGGGACCGUGCGGGGUUC
rnacentral:ncRNA from 1 species